rnacentral:rRNA from 1 species
AUUGAACGCUGGCGGCAUGCCUUACACAUGCAAGUCGAGCGGUAACAGGUCUUCGGAUGCUGACGAGUGGCGAACGGGUGAGUAAUACAUCGGAACGUGCCUAGUAGUGGGGGAUAACUACUCGAAAGAGUGGCUAAUACCGCAUGAGAUCUACGGAUGAAAGCAGGGGAUCGCAAGACCUUGUGCUACUAGAGCGGCCGAUGGCAGAUUAGGUAGUUGGUGGGAUAAAAGCUUACCAAGCCGACGAUCUGUAGCUGGUCUGAGAGGACGAUCAGCCACACUGGGACUGAGACACGGCCCAGACUCCUACGGGAGGCGGCAGUGGGGAAUUUUGGACAAUGGGCGCAAGCCUGAUCCAGCAAUGCCGCGUGCAGGAUGAAGGCCUUCGGGUUGUAAACUGCUUUUGUACGGAACGAAAAGCCCUGGGUUAAUACCCUGGGGUCAUGACGGUACCGUAAGAAUAAGCACCGGCUAACUACGUGCCAGCAGCCGCCGUAA